GUGUUUCUGGUAUGUUAUUUUUUCUUGUAUGGCAUGGUAUCUUGUAUAUUAUUAGAUAUGGUAUGGUAUUGUAGAGUGUCUUUUAUCUCAGUAUUGUGACUUCUUUCGUUUUAUAGCGGAUAUAGUAUUGAACUUGGUAUCGUAUUUGUUUCUUUUAUUAUAUGUAUCUGUUAGAGUAUUGUAUCUUGUAUAUUAUUUUAUCUUGUAUUUUAUUAUAUGUUGUAUACUAUUGAAUUUGGUAUUA
rnacentral:lncRNA from 1 species